UACGGAGGGGGCUAGCGUUGUUCGGAAUUACUGGGCGUAAAGCGCACGUAGGCGGCUAUUCAAGUCAGAGGUGAAAGCCCGGGGCUCAACCCCGGAACUGCCUUUGAAACUAGAUAGCUUGAAUCACGGAGAGGUGGGUGGAAUUCCGAGUGUAGAGGUGAAAUUCGUAGAUAUUCGGAAGAACACCAGUGGCGAAGGCGGCCCACUGGACGUGUAUUGACGCUGAGGUGCGAAGGCGUGGGGAGCAAACAGG
rnacentral:rRNA from 1 species